UUAGUAGCAAAGAAGAGGAAGAGUAGUGCUUAUCCCUAGUUCUAGAGACAGAUUGAAAUGGUGAAAAAUCUGACAGGAAAGCAUGAAGGUAGCCUUGGAGCUGAUGGAAUGAACAAAUAAGUAGUUUCAUCCGUAAAACCCGCGUUAAGGGUAUUAAGCGCCAGAUUCUUAAAAUCUGGAAUUAAGGUGGUACCACGGAUAACUUCGCCCUUAGA
rnacentral:ncRNA from 1 species